UAUAUACUCCCUUCGUCCGGAAAUACUUGUCAUGAAAAUGGAUAAAAGGGAUGUAUCUAGAUGUAUUUUAGUUUUAGAUACAUCCCUUUUUGUCCAUUUUGAUGACAAGUAUUUUCGGGCGAAGGGAGUAUAAU
rnacentral:pre_miRNA from 1 species